AUGGUAGAAAAUUAGAAACUCUUAGAGCGUCUUAUAAAUAUCAGUGUUGAGCUGCCAUGGAGGGCAGCUCAAGUUUUAUGUGCCACGGAUGGCACAUUAAAACGUACACGUAAUGCUUUUGACAAAGUAAAUAAGGCACUCUUAGAGUUUCUUUUUU
rnacentral:ncRNA from 1 species